ensembl:lncRNA
GUCGGGAUGUGGGAUGUGACGAAACGUGCCCUGUUCACAGGUGGGGCGUGUGGUGUUGUGGGGAAGCGGCGCAGAUGGAAAGCUGCCGUGUGGAGCCCCACAGGACGAGUUGCAGAGGCCCCUGAAGGAAAAGGAGAAGGAAGGGCAUUUGCAGAGGGAAAGGCUGUCCCGCUGGCCUUAGGUGUUGCUGAACGGGAGGGGUGGCCAAUGCUUUCUCUUUCCACUGCCUCACGGAUGGUGGCAAAUGCCUUCUGGGGGUGGUUCCAGCAGUGGGAAGAAAACAGCUGGCAGCGGAGGGGUAAACCUCUUUGGGCUGCUGAGCUGUGUGCUGAACCAUAAGGAAGGUGGCUGUAAAGGUGUGCCGUGCAGAUGUCGUGUGCCCAGCAGUCGGGCCGAUGAAGAGCAACAAAUGAAGCGCCAGCACAGCCAGAAAAGCAGCAUACCCCAAUCCCGCUGCCAUUCAGGGUGAUGACGGAGGGUGAAGAACAUGUCAGCAUGGGUGGUUUCCUCCCACUUACCCUCCCUCUCCUGAAACAUGAGCUGCAGAAGGGUAUUGUAAAUCAAAGUGCCAUUGACAGGCCAUUUUUCACCACUUCCCAACUUGUAUAACAACCUCCACUGAUUACAAUGCUCGAUUAAAGUUUUCUUGCUCACGGUCCCCCCAGGCUCCCCGGCAAUAUCUCGCCAAUGAGCCGAGAUACAUCCAAGUGGGUUCGCCUGGGAGCCUCCUUUCUCUGCGCUCCCCCCAUAUUGAAUCUUCUUGAUUCUUUCUUGUUCCCAAAGCUCCACAACUUAUAGCCAGUAGAUCAGUUAACUCUGAUACGUGUUCCUCUUCAUACCUCAGCUCACAACCCCAACAGAGAUGCCGGUUUCCUCCGUUCCACUGUAAUUCCUGGAUGGCGUUACAGCUUAAGCUUCUGACAACGAAUCCAGGGUUGCAAUUAUUUUCAGGGUCUCACAACCCCAACAGAGAUGCCGGUCUCCUACAUUCCACUGUAAUUCCUGGAUGGCGUUACAGCUUAAGCUUCUGACAACGAAUCCAGGGUUGCAAUUAUUUUCAGGGUGUAACAAGCGUCCAAUUACUCUCAGAUCACACGAUGAUACCACUCACACCUUGGGUCCAGUAUUUAACAUUCCCUUAUAGCAGCCGCUUAUGAAGUAUCCGUUGCUGGGUAAUGGAGUCUGCCCACUUGCCCAGGGCACGGGAAGACCGAAUUCCCAGGACAAGAGCCAGAACCAAUGUCCCCAGCAACAGUAGCACUUGUGUUACAAAUGGAAUUCCACAAACAAUAUUUAAUACUUUUAUUACAGACGCACUUAACAGUUACAAAGAUAAGAACAACGACACAGUUCCUAUCAGGAAAAGAAUGAAAAUCGGUUCUGGCAUUUGCCCACCCUGUCUGACCAGUCACUUUAAGCUCUUCAGUAACAGUUUGCAGCCGUCUCCCUCGCAGGAGAACGAAACCAUGGAUCCGACACACUGUUUAGCUUCCAUCUUUCCAAAGCUCACACAGCUCACGUUCCCGAGCGCGCUGUGGUCUCUCUCUCGGGAUACCUUGCGCGCUUUACCUGUGAGGUUCUCAGGAUUUUCGGGAUACCCCCCCUAUGUGGGAC